AUUGAACGCUGGCGGCAGGCCUAACACAUGCAAGUCGAGCGGAUGAAGGGAGCUUGCUCCUGGAUUCAGCGGCGGACGGGUGAGUAAUGCCUAGGAAUCUGCCUGGUAGUGGGGGAUAACGUCCGGAAACGGGCGCUAAUACCGCAUACGUCCUGAGGGAGAAAGUGGGGGAUCUUCGGACCUCACGCUAUCAGAUGAGCCUAGGUCGGAUUAGCUAGUUGGUGGGGUAAAGGCCUACCAAGGCGACGAUCCGUAACUGGCCUGAGAGGAUGAUCAGUCACACUGGAACUGAGACACGGUCCAGACUCCUACGGGAGGCAGCAGUGGGGAAUAUUGGACAAUGGGCGAAAGCCUGAUCCAGCCAUGCCGCGUGUGUGAAGAAGGUCUUCGGAUUGUAAAGCACUUUAAGUUGGGAGGAAGGGCAGUAAGUUAAUGCCUUGCUGUUUUGACGUUACCAACAGAAUAAGCACCGGCUAACUUCGUG
rnacentral:rRNA from 1 species